rnacentral:rRNA from 1 species
UACGAAGGGGGGCUAGCGUUGCUCGGAAUCACUGGGCGUAAAGCGCACGUAGGCGGAUCUUUAAGUCAGGGGGUGAAAUCCUGGAGCUCAACUCCAGAACUGUCUUUGAUACUGGAGAUCUCGAGUCCGGAAGAGGUGAGUGGAACUCCGAGUGUAGAGGUGAAAUUCGUAGAUAUUCGGAAGAACACCAGUGGCGAAGGCGGCUCACUGGUCCGGUACUGGACGCUGAGGUGCGAAGGCGUGGGGAGCAAACAGG